AAAUUGAAGAGUUUGAUCAUGGCUCAGAUUGAACGCUGGCGGCAGGCCUAACACAUGCAAGUCGAGCGGAAACGAGUUAUCUGAACCUUCGGGGAACGAUAACGGCGUCGAGCGGCGGACGGGUGAGUAAUGCCUAGGAAAUUGCCCUGAUGUGGGGGAUAACCAUUGGAAACGAUGGCUAAUACCGCAUGAUGCCUACGGGCCAAAGAGGGGGACCUUCGGGCCUCUCGCGUCAGGAUAUGCCUAGGUGGGAUUAGCUAGUUGGUGAGGUAAAGGCUCACCAAGGCGACGAUCCCUAGCUGGUCUGAGAGGAUGAUCAGCCACACUGGAACUGAGACACGGUCCAGACUCCUACGGGAGGCAGCAGUGGGGAAUAUUGCACAAUGGGCGCAAGCCUGAUGCAGCCAUGCCGCGUGUAUGAAGAAGGCCUUCGGGUUGUAAAGUACUUUCAGUCGUGAGGAAGGUAGUGUAGUUAAUAGCUGCAUUAUUUGACGUUAGCGACAGAAGAAGCACCGGCUAACUCCGUGCCAGCAGCCGCGGUAAUACGGAGGGUGCGAGCGUUAAUCGGAAUUACUGGGCGUAAAGCGCAUGCAGGUGGUUUGUUAAGUCAGAUGUGAAAGCCCGGGGCUCAACCUCGGAAUAGCAUUUGAAACUGGCAGACUAGAGUACUGUAGAGGGGGGUAGAAUUUCAGGUGUAGCGGUGAAAUGCGUAGAGAUCUGAAGGAAUACCGGUGGCGAAGGCGGCCCCCUGGACAGAUACUGACACUCAGAUGCGAAAGCGUGGGGAGCAAACAGGAUUAGAUACCCUGGUAGUCCACGCCGUAAACGAUGUCUACUUGGAGGUUGUGGCCUUGAGCCGUGGCUUUCGGAGCUAACGCGUUAAGUAGACCGCCUGGGGAGUACGGUCGCAAGAUUAAAACUCAAAUGAAUUGACGGGGGCCCGCACAAGCGGUGGAGCAUGUGGUUUAAUUCGAUGCAACGCGAAGAACCUUACCUACUCUUGACAUCCAGAGAACUUUCCAGAGAUGGAUUGGUGCCUUCGGGAACUCUGAGACAGGUGCUGCAUGGCUGUCGUCAGCUCGUGUUGUGAAAUGUUGGGUUAAGUCCCGCAACGAGCGCAACCCUUAUCCUUGUUUGCCAGCGAGUAAUGUCGGGAACUCCAGGGAGACUGCCGGUGAUAAACCGGAGGAAGGUGGGGACGACGUCAAGUCAUCAUGGCCCUUACGAGUAGGGCUACACACGUGCUACAAUGGCGCAUACAGAGGGCGGCCAACUUGCGAAAGUGAGCGAAUCCCAAAAAGUGCGUCGUAGUCCGGAUUGGAGUCUGCAACUCGACUCCAUGAAGUCGGAAUCGCUAGUAAUCGUGGAUCAGAAUGCCACGGUGAAUACGUUCCCGGGCCUUGUACACACCGCCCGUCACACCAUGGGAGUGGGCUGCAAAAGAAGUAGGUAGUUUAACCUUCGGGGGGACGCUUACCACUUUGUGGUUCAUGACUGGGGUGAAGUCGUAACAAGGUAGCGCUAGGGGAACCUGGCGCUGGAUCACCUCCUUAUACGAUGAU
rnacentral:rRNA from 1 species